rnacentral:lncRNA from 10 species
GAAGGACUGGUGACUCACCCUAGCAUUUUCUCUUUGCACAGAAACAGAUGCCCUGCCCAGAAGCAACACGGCUAAUGGGUGCCACCGUGGAGACCCAGGCAACCUGAGAGUAGUCCUGACAGCCAGACCUCCAGGGUGGAAAUGGGAAGGUCUACAGAGAAAGUGGGAGACAUGAAACUAAACAGGAAUGAUACAUUGACAAUAAAGAACAUGAAGAGAUGGUUCCUGGACACUACAAGAAACCUGUGGUCCCAGCUACUCGAAGACUGAAGUGAGAGGAUCACUUGAGCCCAGAAGGUCGAUGCUACAGUGAGCCAUGAUCAUGCCACUAUACUCCAGCCUAGGUGACAGA